UCCAGGGUGAAUGAACAUGAGGCAGGCAGGAGCGAGCAGAGACAUGCACAAGCCUAGGUAAACACGCGGAAAGACAAACAGACACAAUCCAGAUAAAGCCUAGGCGAAAGGAAGGAUCAACUCUCACCUUACAGACGAGGACUUUCAUUUUUUUACUUAACCGAACGACGAGGGAUCAACGUCUCGACAUGUGGAGGAGCAAGUACCAGAGAAUGGAAACGUCUCUAAGGAGGGAGCAGUGUGAGGCUCAGUGGGUUAGAACGCAGUGCCUGUCAACAGAAGGUUGCAGGUUCAAAACCCUGGAGUGGAAAAGCGAUGCCAUCAUUGGGCCCUUGAGUGAGGCCCUUAACCCCCCGAUUGCUCUAUGGAUUGGCUGACCCUAAUUUCUCAUAAAUGUGUAUGUCACUUUGAAUAAAAAUAUCUACUAAUGUAA